AGGAUCAUUAGUGAAUUUAGCGUUUCUCUUUAUACAGAGCGCGACCCUCCACUUUCUUAACUCUGUGAACUAUUUGGUUGGGGUAUAUCGUUUGUGCGCUUUGGAAGGAUUAUUCGCGUAGUCUGGAAGAACAACGCAAUCGAAACCCCGACGGCUCAUUUUUAAAAACACUAGUAAAAAGUAUGUAACGAAAUAUCGAAAUAUAAAAAAAAAACUUUCAACAACGGAUCUCUUGGCUCUCGCAUCGAUGAAGAACGCAGCGAAAUGUGAUAAGUAAUGUGAAUUGCAGAAUUCAGUGAAUCAUCGAAUCUUUGAACGCACCUUGCGCUCCCUAGUAUUCUGGGGAGCAUGUCUGUUUGAGUGUCAUGAACUCUUCAACUCUAGCGUUUCUUGUAAACGAGUAGAAGUUUGGAUUUUGAAUGUUGCUGGUCCUCUGGAUCGUUAGCUCGUUCGUAAUACAUUAGCCUUUCUAAUUCGAACUUCGGAUUGACUCAGUGUAAUAGACUAUUUCGCUGAGGACAUUAUGAUUUGUUUCGUAGUGGCCGAUAUUUAACUAAGAAAAGCUCCGAACCUAUUGUAGUCAAUUUUAGAUUAGACCUCAGAUCAGGCAGGAUUACCCGCUGAACUUAAGCAUAUCAAUAAGCGGAGGAAAAGAAACUAACAAGGAUUCCCCUAGUAACGGCGAGUGAAGCGGGAAGAGCUCAAAUUUGUAAUCUGGCCUUUUCAAGGUCCGAGUUGUAAUCUCGAGAAGUGUUUUCCGCGUCGGACUGCAUAAAAGUCUAUUGGAAUAUAGCGUCAUAGUGGUGAGAGCCCCGUACUUGAUGCAGAUGCCCGAUGCUUUGUGAUACACUUUCGAAGAGUCGAGUUGUUUGGGAAUGCAGCUCAAAUUGGGUGGUAAAUUCCAUCUAAAGCUAAAUAUUGGCGAGAGACCGAUAGCGAACAAGUACCGUGAGGGAAAGAUGAAAAGCACUUUGGAAAGAGAGUUAACAGUACGUGAAAUUGUUGGAAGGGAAACGCUUGAAAUCAGACUUGCUAUUCGGAAUUCAGCCGCAAGGUGUACUUUUCGAUUUGCAGGCCAGCAUCAGUUUUCGGGAGUGAAAAAGGGUAAAGAGAAGGUGGCAACCUUGGUUGUGUUAUAGCUCUUUACUGGAUUCAUUUUUGGGGACUGAGGAUCGCAAUGCGCAAGUU
rnacentral:sRNA from 1 species